rnacentral:rRNA from 1 species
UACGGAGGGUGCAAGCGUUAUCCGGAUUCACUGGGUUUAAAGGGUGCGUAGGAGGGCAGGUAAGUCAGUGGUGAAAUCUUUGGGCUUAACCCGAAAACUGCCAUUGAUACUAUCUGUCUUGAAUCCCGUGGAGGUGAGCGGAAUAUGUCAUGUAGCGGUGAAAUGCUUAGAUAUGACAUAGAACACCAAUUGCGAAGGCAGCUCGCUACACGAAGAUUGACUCUGAGGCACGAAAGCGUGGGGAUCAAAC